rnacentral:rRNA from 1 species
GUAGGUGGCAAGCGUUGUCCGGAAUUAUUGGGCGUAAAGCGCGCGCAGGCGGUUCUUUAAGUCUGAUGUGAAAGCCCACGGCUCAACCGUGGAGGGUCAUUGGAAACUGGAGAACUUGAGUACAGAAGAGGAAAGCGGAACUCCACGUGUAGCGGUGAAAUGCGUAGAGAUGUGGAGGAACACCAGUGGCGAAGGCGGCUUUCUGGUCUGUAACUGACGCUGAGGCGCGAAAGCGUGGGGAGCAAACAGGACUAGAUACCCUGGUAGUCCACGCCGUAAACGAUGAGUGCUAAGUGUUAGGGGGGUUUCCGCCCCCCUUAGUGCUGCAGCUAACGCAUUAAGCACUCCGCCUGGGAGUACGGCCGCAAGGCUG